CCCUUGUGCAGCAGCGCGGUAUUCCAGCUCCAAUUAGCGUAUAUUAAGUUGUUGCUAUUAAAAAGCCCGUAGUUGAAUUUGAGGAGUAAGUUUAGGUCCAUUGAAAGAUGAGUACUUUAACUUUAUUCCUUCCCUUGUAGUGAACUAUAUUGAAGAAAUUUGGUAUAGGGAACUAUGAAUUUUACCUUGAGAAAAUUAGAGUGUUCAAAGCAGGCCUACGCCGGAAUACAUUAGCAUGGAAUAAUAAAAUAGGACGAGUGAUUCUAUUUUGUUGGUUUAUAGAACCACCGUAAUGAUUAAUAGGAACAGUUGGGGGCAUUAGUAUUCAGUUGCUAAGGUGAAAUUCUUGGAUUUACUGAAGACUAACUACUGCGAAAGCAUUUGCCAAGGAUGUUUUCAUUAAUAAAGGACGAUGGUUGGGGGAUCGAAAAUGAUUAGAUACCGUUGUAGUCCCAACAGUAAACUAUGCCGACUGAGGAUUGGAUGACGUUAUAUUAUUGACUCAUUCAGCACUCUGCGAGAAAUCAAAGUUUUUGGGCUUAGGGGGAGUAUGGUCGCAAGGCUGAAACUUAAAGGAAUUGACGGAAGAGCACCAAAAGAGUGGAGCCUGCGGCUUAUUUGACUCACACGGGGAAACUCACCANGUCCAGACAUAGUACAGGAUUGACAGAUUGAUAGCUCUUCUUGAUUCUAAUGGGUGGUGGUGCAUGGCCGUUCUUUAGUUGGUGGAGUGAU
rnacentral:rRNA from 1 species